UGUUUAUAUAGCCUAGACGAACAGCAGGGCUUGUCCCUUCGGGGACAUCCGAUAAAAUUGGAACGAUACAGAGAAGAUUAGCAUGGCCCCUGCGCAAGGAUGACACGCACAAAUCGAGAAAUGGUCCAAAUUUUUUUUGCAUUUUUUCCCUUACUCAAUCGUUCAGGGUUUGUCCAAUUUUGACAUUGGUGAUGUCUCCUCCUACUUCAACCUGUAUGUAUUGUAAACUCUUAUUCCCAUCAAAGUAUUAUAUUAUAAGUCUUGUUCUGAUUUGGUUGUUUGUUUGUUACGGAUAAAGAAUUUUAUUAUUCUGUCUGUAUUAUUGUAAAUGGUUUCAUUUCAAUCUUGUCUAUUGAAAUGAUUCACUCACAAUAGACAACUGUUUUUCAUCUUGCUUCUUAAUUAGUUUCUUCUUUUUUUUUUCUCGAGUGAAGUUGUUGAAACAUUGUGUCAUCAUUUGAAAAAAGCACGAACUAAUGUUAGUGAGUACUAUGUAUGUCAUUCAUAUAGACAAUUUUCGCCCAUUUUCCCAAUAAAGGGAAUAAGAAAAAUAUUUACUAGUGUAAAAAUGCUUAUUAUUCAAAAUGUCACUACUAAUCUAUGCCAGUAAGCUGCAUUUACAGCCCAGUAAGUUAUAAGCAAAAACAAUUUUAUGUGCAAGGAAUUGUGAGGCCACCCAUUCUUGAAAUGAAGAUUGGUUCAGGUAGGACACGGGAAUCACAAACCGCUUCAUUUCCUCUCGAUGUAUGCCACAAGAUAGCCCGUUGGCACAUUCAUGACUUUCAAUGAUGUUUUGGCUACUGCUAAAGGUGCCAUUCUUAUUGCUGCAGGUAAACGGAAGCCCUUGCUAAAUGUUUCAAAGAGCAAGCUAAAACUCUCAAAUUUAAGGAAAAAGUAUUUAUCUUUUGAUGCUUGAGUAUGUGAAUGACUUGUGAUUUCUGUGAGGGAAAGUUGUGCAUUUAUAGUCUUCAAGAGUUUCUUCAAAUCAAUUUCUUUAAGAAAUUAUUAUUAAAAGACGGGCUCCAUGAGAUGAGGGAUCAUAUGAUCUUGCCUGUUGAUAACCCACUUGGAAGUCAAAUGAGAUGGCUAGGUUUAACUUAAUGCUUGAUUUAUGGAUACUCAUAUUUUUUGUAGACAUGUCACAUGUUCUCUUUAUAUUGAUAACUCGGUUCAAUGCCGAUGCAUAGCUAGCUAGCUACCAAAGAAUAUCUUGUUAGUGUGGACUCUAAGGUAGAUAAUGGUUAGUUGGCUACAAAUUAUAAAUGUUAGGAGGCAGCAGGGAACCUGUACUGAGGGUUUUGUCAGUAGUCAGAAGAUAAUAGUACAUGUUUUAAACCACAAGUAGCAGAAAUACUGGAUAUGCUGAAAAUUAUAUUCUUAAUUUCAACAGUCCUGUAUAUUUUGUUUGAAAUAAUUGCAGUCUAUCGAAGAAAGUCUAGCAACAGCUGCUUUGGCAUGAUUAUGAGGUGGACUAUAGCCCAAAAUUUUAACUUGCGCGGAUAAGGGUUGUUCGGUGAUUUGUUUUCUGCAUAUAAGAACAAUUAGCUAGUAGAACCUCUACUCAUGGAACUCUAUUGACGAUUGAGGGGAAGGAGUUGUAUUUUAACGUUUCAUAUUUGUGUUUUGGUUUCCUCUAGUUUGAGAACUUAUCACUGCUUUUAAGUAUCAGACUAUUUCAAGUUCUCCAUUUAAAAGCGAUAAGAUAAACAGUCAUGAAUAAAAGGCCAAGAGGAAACAUCAGGCUAAGCAAGGGUGCAUGGCCUAGUUUGGAUGAGUUUCUAGCUUUUAGGAGUUUUCCAAUUUCCAAUUGAGACAACUAUUUGAUUCUUAGUUAACAAAAGUACCUUUAAAUGAUAUUAAUUAAAUGCCUUUUAAAUUAAUUAUAUGUUAAAUGUUUUUGUUUAGUAUUUUUCGACUUUGUGUCCAAUUAUGAAAGACUUUUCAUAAUUGGGUCAAUAAGUGGUAAACUUGAAAUAUAUUAUUUGAUGGGUUUAGCUUCUGUUUUAGGCUCUAACUAGUUGCGUCUAUAAUAUUAAUUACUAUAUGAUCUGUUUCGACUCUGUUUAGUCAUGGAAUUCAUCCCCUGAAACAUAUGAGAUGAAAGUAUAUUUUUAAUCUGAGAGGAUACCGGAUGGAGGGAGUCUAUGACCAUCUUUUGAAUAAGAAAAAUACAUUAGAUACACUUUUAUGAAUUGUGGAGGCUACUAGGAACUUAGAAUAAAGGGUUGCCACUAAUUUUGUGCUUUCUGACAACAGAGAGAUUCAGCUAAGUCAUUGCAAUGACACGGUUCUUAGCUUAUGAUUCAGUUAAUACUUAAUAGAAGCAUAAGGCAUAUAAAAGUUUGUAAACUUGGUUUCUUUUUUUCCAAGGAUUCACUUAUCUAGUAGUUCAUCAAUAGAAACACAGAGGAGCCAGUUGAGUUGUUGAAACACUGUGUCAUUACGAUUAGACAGAAAUUAUGGAGAGGAAAAUAACUUGUUACGUAGUAUGUCAUUCAGAUGGACAUGUUUCACCCAUUCCCGAUAAAGGGAAAAGGAAAAUAUUUACAAGUGUAAAAUAAUAAAAUAUGCCUGUUGUAGAAAAUAUCACUACUAAUCUAUGUCAGUAUCUUCCAGUUUUAGAUUUAUAGCCCAUUGAAGCUAACAGUAAUGUGCAAGAAAACAUCUUCUGUGCAAGGAAUUGUGAGGCCACCCAUUGGAUGAUCAUAUCCAAAUUCUUUCUCCACUUACUCAACAAGUCUUGAAAUGAGGCUUGGUUCAAGUAUGGCAUGGGGAUUACAAAUCGCUUCAUCUCCUCUCCGACGUACAAUGCAAGAUAUCCCUUUGGCACAUCUGCUACUUUUGAUGAUGUUUACUGCUAAAUGAAACCCGUCUAAUGGCUACCAGUGAACGGAAGCCCAUUUCAAAGGUUUCAAAGAACAAGAUAAAGCUCAUUCCAAAGGUUUCAAAGAACAAGAUAAAGCUCUCAAAUGUGUCUAAGUUUUGAUGCUUGAGUUAAGUAAGCUGGAUAACUUUUGAUGGCUGUGAAGGAGGAUACUGUAUUUAUAGACUUAAAAGUUUCUUGAAAUCUAUUUUUGUUGAGAAAUGGUUGUUAAUUGAUGGGGGUCCUUGAGAUGAGAGAUCACGUGGUAUUGUCGUUGGAUGUCUCUCUUUCAUAGAUCAGUAAGCACCUUCUGAACGUAAGUCCAGUAGAUUACUCACUUGGAAGUCAAAUAAGGUGGAAAGGUUAAAAUUAAUGUUGUCUACUCAUGUAUAUGUAGAGUGUAGACAAGCAUUAAGAAUAUAAGAAUAAUUGUUAGCAGAUAUUGUAUUGAUGGAUCUCAGUUAAGCAUGGAGUGUCUUAUUAUGUAAUAAUGUUUAAGCAACGAUUUCACA